rnacentral:rRNA from 1 species
AUUAACAGGAUUAGAUACCCUGGUAGUCCGCGCCCUAAACGAUGUCUACUAGUUGUCGGGUUUUAAUUAACUUGGUAACGCAGCUAACGCGUGAAGUAGACCGCCUGGGGAGUACGGUCGCAAGAUUAAAACUCAAAGGAAUUGACGGGGACCCGCACAAGCGGUGGAUGAUGUGGAUUAAUUCGAUGCAACGCGAAAAACCUUACCUACCCUUGACAUGUACGGAAGGCCGAAGAGAUUUGGCUGUGCUCGAAAGAGAACCGUAACACAGGUGCUGCAUGGCUGUCGUCAGCUCGUGUCGUGAGAUGUUGGGUUAAGUCCCGCAACGAGCGCAACCCUUGUCAUUAGUUGCUACGAAAGGGCACUCUAAUGAGACUGCCGGUGACAAACCGGAGGAAGGUGGGGAUGACGUCAAGUCCUCAUGGCCCUUAUGGGUAGGGCUUCACACGUCAUACAAUGGUACAUACAGAGCGCCGCCAACCCGCGAGGGGGAGCUAAUCGCAGAAAGUGUAUCGUAGUCCGGAUUGUAGUCUGCAACUCGACUGCAUGAAGUUGGAAUCGCUAGUAAUCGCGGAUCAGCAUGUCGCGGUGAAUACGUUCCCGGGUCUUGUACACACCGCCCGUCACACCAUGGGAGCGGGUUUUACCAGAAGUAGUAGCUUAACCGCAAGGAGGGCGCUUACCACGGUAGGAUUCGUGACUGGGGUGAAGUCGUAACAAGGUAGCCGUA